ACGCUGGCGGCGUGCCUAACACAUGCAAGUCGAGCGGGGAGGAGGAAGCUUGCUUCCGAAUCCUAGCGGCGGACGGGUGAGUAACGCGUGAGCAAUCUGCCUCAAACAGGGGGAUAACGCAUCGAAAGAUGUGCUAAUACCGCGUAAGACCACAGUACCGCAUGGUACAGGGGUCAAAGGAGCAAUCCGGUUUGAGAUGAGCUCGCGUCCGAUUAGCUAGUUGGCGGGAUAACAGCCCACCAAGGCGACGAUCGGUAGCCGACCUGAGAGGGUGAUCGGCCACAUUGGAACUGAGAUACGGUCCAGACUCCUACGGGAGGCAGCAGUGGGGAAUAUUGGGCAAUGGGCGAAAGCCUGACCCAGCAACGCCGCGUGAAGGAAGAAGGCCUUCGGGUUGUAAACUUCUUUUACCCAGGGACGAAGAACGUGACGGUACCUGGAGAAAAGCAACGGCUAACUUACGUG
rnacentral:rRNA from 1 species